rnacentral:rRNA from 1 species
AGAGUUUGAUCCUGGCUCAGGAUGAACGCUGGCGGCGUGCUUAACACAUGCAAGUCGAACGAACCUUCGGGUUAGUGGCGGACGGGUGAGUAACGCGUGGGAAUCUGCCCUCAGGAGGGGGAUAACGGUUGGAAACGACCGCUAAUACCCCAUAUGCCGAAAGGUGAAAUGAAUUUCGCCUGAGGAUGAGCCCGCGUCUGAUUAGCUAGUUGGUAAGGUAAAGGCUUACCAAGGCUUCGAUCAGUAGCUGGUCUGAGAGGAUGAUCAGCCACACUGGGACUGAGACACGGCCCAGACUCCUACGGGAGGCAGCAGUGGGGAAUUUUCCGCAAUGGGCGAAAGCCUGACGGAGCAACGCCGCGUGAGGGACGAAGGCCUCUGGGCUGUAAACCUCUUUUCUCAAGGAAGAAGAUAUGACGGUACUUGAGGAAUAAGCCACGGCUAAUUCCGUGCCAGCAGCCGCGGUAAUACGGGAGUGGCAAGCGUUAUCCGGAAUUAUUGGGCGUAAAGCGUCCGCAGGCGGCCUUUCAAGUCUGCUGUUAAAGCGUGGAGCUUAACUCCAUUAUGGCAGUGGAAACUGAUAGGCUUGAGUAUGGUAGGGGCAGAGGGAAUUCCCGGUGUAGCGGUGAAAUGCGUAGAUAUCGGGAAGAACACCAGUGGCGAAGGCGCUCUGCUGGGCCAUUACUGACGCUCAUGGACGAAAGCCAGGGGAGCGAAAGGGAUUAGAUACCCCUGUAGUCCUGGCCGUAAACGAUGAACACUAGGUGUCGGGGGAAUCGACC